AUACGGGCUGCUCAGCCUCGUUCGCGCUCUCUAUUUAUUUUUUUGCACUGCAUUCGUACACACACGUGUACGUGCAGAAUCCACAAUAACAAACAUGGAUGUGACUUCGUCUGCAUCGGAUUCCGACAACGAAGAUGACAUUGUAUCACCGUCGCCUGCCUGCUGCAUGCAUGUUGUACCCCAUGGAAAAGGGCAUGUUUCAUUUUUUCAUGAGAAGAGCUGGUCUAAAUUCAAGGAUUGCUGUGUUCGGUGAAGUCGAGUUGAAAGUGCCGAAACAAAGAUAGCUAUUCGUGCUGCGGAGAAGUUUGGGAUUGACCUGCACGGGCAGGAGGGCGAGCCUCACCGGCAGCAAGAUCACUCAAGCCUCGUACCAUCGUAGGUGCUACCAGCAUUUUUGCAAUGUUGGAAAACUUGUCAGGGCAGAGAUUACAACGGAAAAACGAAAAGCUGAAGAUGCAGAUGUGGAAUCGGCUGAAGAAGGCAGUCUUCAUUCUGCACCUCCAAGAAAGAUGCUGCGAUCGAGUCUUUCCCCUACGAAAGGUCGGCAUGUCCUGCCAGCAGAAUGCAUUGUAUGCAGAAAGAUUCAAUGGAAGACAGUAAACUUACAGGCAAGAGAUUCAAGGUCCCCGUUUCCAGGUGCGAACAAGUUUCAGCUACAAAAUUCCUGAAAGCAGCUGAGAUGCGGCAACACACCCGCAUCCUCAUGCAGAUCCGCGGAAAGGAUAUGUUAGCUACCGGUAUAGAGCUACAAUAUCACAAAGGUUGUUACCAGGACUUCACCUCCUGUCUGCGCCAAGCAGAGAGAGCUGCAACAAAUACAGACACUGAUGAUCUCUCCCUCCCACUUACAACUGUUUGUUUGAUCUGAUAAGGAGGAGGAUUGUGAAAGACAAAGAGGUGCUCAGACUCAAGGACUUACAUCGUUCCUUCGUUAAGGCAGGUUUGAGAAAUAAAGGAGUGGACUUGUCAUCAUACCAGACCAAGAAACUGAACCAGCGACUUCAAGUAACAUUCCCUCAGCUCAUAUAUAUUCGUGUCCCCGCAGAGACAGAAUGAAAGUGAGAUUGUGAUGGUCGGUGACAUGGAGGCAUCAUCACUUGCUGAGCACGCUGUACAUCAAGAUCAAGCAACUAGCACUUCAUUCAGUGAAGAGUCUGCCUCAGAUGAAGAUGAGAUGUUUUUUAGUUUCAUUACAAAUACAAAUGUAUGAUAUUAUAAACCAGGCACACAUUGCACAAAGAGCCCCAUGGCUGUAAAGUACAUGAAUUAUAUAGUGAUCCUUUAAAUACUACUUUUAAAAUAUGUAAAGAUGUAAAGUGUUUUUUUCUUAAUGAUAUACAUGUAAUUUAAAUUUGGAUCUAAUUAGAAAACAUUAUUCCUGUGUCAUUAUGAUGUCAAGCUAAUAUAUUAGUAGAAUUCUACAAGCGUAAAUAUGCCAUUUAAACAUUGUCUUAUUUUUGCUCUCGUUCUUCCAUUCUACAAAUAAGUGAAGCAUUUUGGAAUUUAAUGAUAUGAAUAUACUGUAAGAUGCUUAUCGAUUAUUUAAAUUACUUAAGAUACCGGUGAAGUUGUUGUUUCAAAGAACUCAGUAUGUAGGUGUAUCAUCUCAUUAUACUUACAAACCAUCAUACGGUGAUAGAAAAACUUAAAGUACAUGUACAUACUGGAGUCAUAAAACCCAAGAUUAAAGAAAUGCAAUGUACCUAUUUACAUAUGAUGGAUUAUCAUGAAUAACAUGUACAUCAUUAUAGUAUAUAAUUUGAAGUCAUCAAUCAAAUUUAUAUAAAAGUUGAAUGAACCAAAA